rnacentral:sRNA from 1 species
AUGUGUAAAUCUUCCUGCAAUGGAUCUGAAGCAAGGAGAAUCCCUUUAAUUUCCUGUACGAUGUAAACUGGCAAGAAAAAGGAAAUCCCAAUAUCAUUAGAAAGGAAAUCCUUAACAGAGAUGAUCCCUUCCCCAUCCAUUAGAGGGACUUCAAUUUGUUUCCUAAGAGGGCCUGAAGCCAACCAGAAAUCUUCCCAAACACUCACAGCUUACCAAUUGGAAAUUGAACAUUUUAAUCCUUUGUUAAACACUACACCCCCUUCCUUACAAGCUGCCCAGAUUUGAGAUGCAGGUAAUCCCCUUCCCCAGUGCCGGCUCAAGGCAUAGGCAAGUUGGGCCUAGGCCUAAGGCCCCACCAAAAAACAAAUUUUUCCUUAGGAAAAAAAGCCCCACUUUUCAUAGUUAAAAGGCCCAAAUUUUUAUAAAAUUAUAUAUAUAUUUUCUAAAGGUUGUACAUUUUUUUUAUUAGUGAUGUUAAGGAUACUACAAAUAUUACUAUUGGCUUACAAAUUGCCAUGUUAUUAAUCACAAAAAAAGUGAUAUAAACAUUCAUUAGUUAAAUUGAUGAAGUUCAUCAAUGAGAGACAAUAUCACAUUAUAUUUUGAACAUUUUAUAGUGCUUUUAAUUAGCGCAUUUUUCUUUUUUAUUUUUAUUAAGACUCUCAAAGUACGAGACCAAUAGGACCUUAACUCAAUUGAAACCCUAAAAUAUUUCAAAAAGAUGUUGCAAAUGUGUUAAAUCAUCAAUUAUAGAUUAAUCUCUCCUAAUAGUUUGAGACUUUGAUUUUUGUAAAAUAAUAUCCUACAGAUUCAUACACCAAAUAAUAUCUAUCUCUCUCUCUUAAAAUCAAAAUAUAAAAUUAAAAAUUAGAUUACAAUUUUAUUUAACUAUGCAUUGUCUUAUAUCCAAAAUAAAGUAUCUUUUUCAAUCGCAAUAUAUUUUUAUUUCUUUUUAUUAAUAUUUAUAGGUUCAACUAUGAUAUUCAAUUCUCUAUAUGAAAUUAACAUUAAUCUAGUUGGUAUUAUUUAUGUAUUUAAUGUAUUAAAUUAACCUUAAUUUGAUUAGUAUUAAAUAAUUUUGUUUAAUUAAUAUUUACAUAUUAAAGGCCCCGCAUAAAUUUUUCGCCUUAGGCCCCAAAUUAUGUUGGGCCGUCCCCGCCCUUCCCCUUUCACUAAUUAAUUCUGGAAGGCGUAAGAUAUUAUUUAAUAAGCAUUUGAGCCCAAGAUGCAUUUGAGUUCAUAAUAUUUGCGUGAAUGGAAUCCUUAAAUUAGGCUAUAUAAAAUUGCGGAAGGGUACAUAGAAAAAGGUUUCUCUUUUUUGUUUGAGAAAUGGUUGACAUAUUAGCUGCAAUAAGAAGCUAGGAAAAAAAAUUGAUCUAGACAAAAUGUCACUUGAGGGAGAGUUUACACGGUUUACGUUAUUCUUUGAAUGAAACAUGGGCGUUGUCUCAACUAAUGUUGAUAAAAGAAAAAUUAAAAAGAAGCCCGUUGUCAUUUUAUUAUUAAUAGUACAUGAAAUGGAACACAGCUCAGGACAGAAAUAGGUAAUGAAUAAAAGAUGAGUAAAAAACGAAGGAAAAUCUCAUGUUAUUUCAAUUCUACGGUUCUACUAACCAUUACCAUGUAAUCUUGUUCUGGAGCAUUCAAAUAUUUUAGCACCAAAAAUACUAAAAAAACACACUGCAUCAAAAGUGUGAAGUGUCAAAACUCAAAUUAUUUAUUGUACUUUACUAGUGAACACCAAAAAAUAUUAUUUAAAUGAAAAUUAAAGAGAUAGACUUAAGUAGUAAAAAAGUAAAAAAAUAAAUGAUAUUUAAAUAAAUUGAUAAAAAAAUAAUAUUUAAUAUUAGAUGUAUAAUAAAAUAAAAGGUUAAAAUAAACAAAAUAGCUUUUUUAAGUUAGAAAAAGAUUUUUUUUUUAGCAGCUCUGAGAUAAAGAUUCCCUUUGCAUGAUUAAUGUUGAAUAAUUGCUUGAAUAAAACAAAAGCAAUCCGUUCACUUUGUGACCUCUACCAAACAACGUUACCCCACGUCCCCACAGUGACAAUUUCUCAGCAUCUUCCGCUAAAGUCGAGGUGACUCCAGUGAUGUCGCCUUGUCCUACGCGAAUCCGCCUCAAAAGCAAGUCCACGUGAUUCCAUCCUUGUUCUCUUCACUUAUGCUAUAUUGAUACCUUCGCUUGUUUUGACAUUUCUCAAGAAGGGUUGCUUUGUUGUUAUCUUCUUAGCUUGAUCUGUGUGCAGUGGCAGCGCCACGUCAGUUCAGAGAGUUCAAGAUGCUCUCAGAAACACCUUAAUCUGAAAAAAAAAAAAUAUAUAUAUAUAUAUAUAUAUAAUAAUUAAAAAACUUAUUUGUUUAUCUAUAAAAAAAUUAAAAAUACUUUCCACCAAAAUUAGAAACAUUCUCAAAUAAAAAAUAAAAAAAUUUUAUUUGUUCUACUUUCAAACAAAAAAAAAAGUUAAAAAAAAAUUUUGAACUAAAAUCUAAAAAAAAAAUUGUAACAAAGUAAAUCCACCAGGAAAAAAAAAAAUAACAUAGUAGCAAUCCCACAAAUUCUCAAAAAAAAAUCAAAAAAUAAAAAUCAAAACCCAACAUACUCAAUUAUAAGUUGUCAAAACAAAUAAAAAAUCUCAAAUCCUUAAAGAAGUGUUUGGUACAUGUAUUUUGUUAUUUAAAAAUAUAUAUGAAAAUAUGUGUAAUAAAAAAUUGUGUAAAAAUACGUAUAAUAUUAUUUAAAAACUGAGAAGGCUUAUUAAAGUUUGUUUACCAAACAGCCCAUAAAAUUUUUACCUUUCUUUUUCUCAUUUUUGCUCUACUUUUUUCUAUCAACUCAUGCUUUCCGCGUCUCUCAUUCUCUCUCUCCACUCCCACUGUCAGGGCCGGCCCUAGACCAAGCUUCCUCAGAUCUCAUUUUUUUUUUUCUGCUGCUGCGUUUGGGUUUUGAUUCUGCAGAACUGGCUGAAUGGGUUUUGACUUUUGAGGUACUUGGAUUUCUGCCUUUCUGCCUUUCUCUAGACUCUUCUUUAGAUUUGUUAAAGACUUAAGUUUUCUCUGGGCCGUGGGCUGGACGUUUCACCACGUUCUUCAAGCUUUUGUUUUUGUUUUUGUUUUUGUUUGUUUUUUGUUUUUAUUUUUUUGCAGUAGGAUUUGUUUUAUGUUUUUUGUGGGUGCCAUCUUGUCUGGCAUCCUCUUGACUGGGUUGGGGCGCUGGCUUGUAUAGUGUUGUGUUUAAAUUUUUUUUUUUUUUUAAUCUUGUGUUUUUAUUUAUAUAUUUUAGUUAUUGGUAAUCUAUAUAUCUAUAUAUAAAACUAAAUCCUCUAAAGCUCUUACAAUUUUUUACAUCAUCAUUAUUUUCUUUUCUUUUUUAUUUUAAACUAGUCGCAGACCCGCGCGUUGCGCGUGUUAAUUUUUUAGAUAAAAUAUUAUUUUAGUCCUUAGACUUUAUAUAAAGAGUUAAAAAAAAAAAAAAAGUUUCAUCAUAUUUUUCAUAAUCUUGUCUAUAACAUUUUUUCCAUUAUCAUAUAUUUAUUGGUUGAUGAUUUGCAUAACAUAAACAUUAAAUAAGAGGUAAAACUAUUUAUUGUGUAUGAAGAUUAUGAUUAUAUAUAUAUAUAUAUAUUUAUUUAUAUAAUUUCCCUAGUUAGAGUUUGAUUAGUCUUAAGUUUAAAUUUUGUAUUAUAAUAUUUAAUUGUUGAUUAUUGAUUUAAUUAACUGAAUGUAAUGGUUGAUUUUAUUGCACUAUAAAGUUUUCAAUGUCCUUUGUAUAGCCAUCUUUAUUUUUUUCUUAUUCCUCUAGACCACCUUUUUAUUUUCCAAAUAACGGUUAUUAAUUGACGUUUGAUCUCAUUUAUUUUUUUUCUUCCUUCAUUUAUUCUUUAUUACUUUGUAUGUUCACUUGCUAAUUGUAAAUUUUAUGGUUAUCAAUAAAAAAUAGAUAUCAUGGAUGGUUUAAAUAGUUAUAGAUAUAGUCACGUUAGUAGUAUGUCAAAGGUUUUUUUUCCUUCUGAAUUUUCAAGAAAAUAUGAAAGGCAUUUCUCUAGUUUGGUCUCAAUCAAUUAAGAUAUCCAUAAUAUAUUAAUGGAAAUAAUAAUGAGCCUUAAAUAUUUUUAAUGUAUGAAGUGGUUAGGUUAGUAGCAUGUCAAAGGUUUUAUAAAAAAAAAUUUAAAAAUAAUUCCAAGGAAAUGUAAAAUGCCUUUUUCAUAAAAAAGAAAUUGUGACUUUUUGAAUGGUAGAAAUAUGAUUGUUUUACUUACCUUGUUUAUAGAUUUCAUUAUUAAGUUAUAAACAUCUAAAUUAAAGUAAAUGAACAUAUAAAUGCAAAAUUAUAUGUAAAAUUACAACAGCACAAGAUAAAUAUGUAUAGAUAAAUUUUUUUUUUUUAAUUCAUGAAUCAUUAUUUCACUGUUUACUUUCAUUUUGCAAAAAACUUAACACAAACUCCUCUUUUGUGACAACUUUUUUUUUUUUUUCUUUUUGCCGAAACAACUUAAGGAUAUUAAGACUUAAGUUAACACAUGUGAUAAUUGUAAAACACGUCAGUGAUAUGAAGAAUAGAAAGAUUUAAAUAUUUAAAAAAAAAUUUUAGUAGAUUGUAAUAUAAAACAUUUUUUUCUCAAUAUUUUAUGUAACUUUUGCCAUAAGAUCAAUAUUGUUGGCAUUCUUUGAAGAUGAUACAUAAUAUUUUUGAGAAGAAAAAGAAGAAGAAGUAGAGACAAUGCUAACACAUAAUAGAAAAUUAUUAAGCUUGCGUGAUUUAAAUUUGUGGCCAAAAAAGUAUUAAUGUAUCUAUGAUAAAAGUUUUUAUUUAAAUGAUAUAUAGUAGUUCAUAUUUUUUUAGACUUGAUUCAAAAAGUUCAUUCUCAAUAGCAAUAAACAUCAAAUUAUCCAAGUCAUUCUAUGUAAUAUAAUAACAAUAUAUUAUUAUACAUUAUAUGUAUAAUGCAGUAGGAUAAUAUUUAAUCAAAGAGAAUAUAGAAGAUAACAACUUAAAACACAAAACUAAAUUACAUCAACUCAAAGUAAAAUUCUAAUUAACACAAAAAUUCAUCAACCUAAAGAAUUGAUGCAAUAAAAAAAAUCAAACAAAAAAUGAAAAACAAAUUGAGAGAGAGAGAGAGAGAGAGAGAGGGAGAGAGAGAGAAGUAACCUUUUUUGUGUGAGGAAACUAUGCAUAGAAUGAAAAAGAAAAUGUCAAAUUUAUAGUAAGAUAUUGAGAAUAAGAAGAGUCAAAAUAAAGGAAGAUAAAAAGGUAGAGAAAGAAUGAUAUUAAGGUAGAAAGUAGUGGGGAGAUGAAGAAGUAAAAGGAAAGGAGAGUUUUGGAAAAUUAAUAAUAAAAAUAAUGGUUAAAAGAUGUUUUAAUUUUUAAAUAAUUAAGUUACCUUAAAUGAGAAAAUGUUUUAAAAAAUAUAUAAGAAAAAUUGAAAACAAAAAAUGAUGACGUGGCGGCUGAUGUGGCUCAACGUGAGCGUAGCAACAUUAAAUGCUAAGCUUCAGCUUUUAGUAAUAUAUAGAUUUUUUUAUUUUAUGUUUUAUAUCUUAUAUAGAAUCCACCAGAAAAACAAUAGACAAAAGUUUGAAUUUUUAUUAAUAUCAAUAAUAUUGAAAAACGUAUACAAACUUAAAGAUCUAUUUAAGGGCUCUAUAAAACUUGAUAGACAAUAAAAUAUAUUCUAAAAUAAGCCCUAAUUAAUACCUAACCAUAAUAGGAACCAAAUUUGAUCUAAAAAACAUUAAAAGGACCUAAAAAUAAGGAAAUAAAUCACCUAGACCUAAAAUAACGUUUUUUGCAUAAAAAUACUAAAAUUAAAUAAUUACAAAAAUAAUUUUCACAUCAUCACUAUUUUCUUUUUCUUUUUAUUUUAUAUUCUUUUUAUUUUAGGUUUUAUAUCUUAUAUAGAAUCUACCAGAAAAAAAUAGACAAAAGUUUGAAUAAAUAAAAAACAUUAAAAGAACGUAAAAAAAAUAAAAUAAAAUAACGUAGAAUUUUUUUUAAAAAAUUCACUUUAGGUUUAAAAAAAAAAAAAAAAAAACUCACAUAACACGAUAGAAUUUUUUUUUUUAAAAAGGCCUCACAAAAAAAAAAAAAAAAACCUUUAUGAUUAAGAAAAAAAGAGAGAGACUCCUGGUAGGACUCUUUCUUCUCUCCUUAAAACCCUAACAAUUACCAUCUCAAAACCCUAAACUCAACUUCACUUUAAGAUUAAAAAAAUAAGAAGGAGAGUGACUCACAUAAAUUAAAAAAAAAAAAAAAAAAAACAACAACAACAACAACAACAACGUAGGUUUUGUCUUUUUUAUUUGCUUUCAUAUGUGUCUGAAAUUUUCAUUCUAUCUUAUUGUUUUAUUAUGUUUAGAAUUGAUUUUCUUCUAAGUAUUUGGGUUAAUCUCUAUAUUUUGAUAAUGUUUUUAUGGGUUUGGUUUUUGGGUUGAAAUUCUAAUAAUUAUUUUAUAUUGUAUAUGGCAGAUGAAGCAUCUCUAUUUUUUGGAGAAAAAUCAAAGCUGCAACCUAUGUCUUCCAACCCAAGGUGUGGUAAAUUUUUAUAUGUUCUUGUUUUAUUGAGAAUUUUUAUUUGGGUUCAUGUGAUUUUUUGUUUUUUUAUUAAAGUUUUGAUUUUUGGUUAAUUAGUUAUUUGUUUGGAUUAAUUUCAAUUAAUUAUUUGUUUGGAUUCAACGUAAAAGAUAAUGGAAUUAGGUGUUAUAAAUUUGAUAAUGUUCCAUAUUUUGAAUUGUUUAUAUUGUUAAGACUCCUGGUAGGACUCUCUCUUCUCCCCUUAAAACCCUAGUAAUUAUCAUCUCAAAACCCUAAACUUAACUUCACUUUAAAAUUUAAAAAAAAAAAUAAGAAGGAGAGAGACUCACGUAAAAAAAAAUUAAAAAAAAAAAAAAACACGUAGGUUUUGUCUUUUUUAUUUGUUUUCAUAUGUGCCUGAAAUUUUCAUUCUAUCUUAUUAUUUUGUUAUGUUUAGAAUUUAUUUUCUUCUAAGUAUUUGGGUUAAUCUCUAUAUUUUGAUAGUGUUUUUGUGGGUUUGGUUUUUGGGUUGAAAUUUCUAAUAAUUAUUUUAUAUUGUAUAUGGCAGAUGAAGGAUCUCUAUUUUUUGGAGAAAAAUCAAAGUUGCAACCCAUGUCUUCCAACCCAAGGUGUGGUAAAUUUUUAUUUGGUAUAUUAUAUAUGAAUUUUUUGAAUUUGAAGGGUUUUGUUUGGUUUUGAAGUAGAAUUAGGGGAUUCUAUAAAAUUUGGAAGUUUUAAGUUUUGGGGUUUUUGGUAUUUACAUCUUAGUAGGUUGAUCUUAAUUCUUUACCUUAUAUAUUUUUGCUUUAUUGAGAAUUUUUAUUUGGGUUCAUGUGAUUUUUUGUUUUCUUAAUUAAAGCUUUGAUUUUUGGUUGAUUAAUUAUUUGUUUGGAUUAAUUUCAAUUAAUUAUUUGUUUGGAUUCAACGUAAAAGAUAAUGGAAUUAUGUGUUAUAAAUUUGAUAAUGUUCUAUAUUUUGAAUUGUUUAUAUUAUUAUUACUACGACUAAAUAAGAUUUGUUUUUAUCUUUGUAGUUUAUAUCAGUUUUGAGUGUGUGUAUAUAUAUAACUGUGGGGCCCGUGGGUCUGAUAGCCUCAGCCCAUCGUGUAGUAGGCCCAAGGCCCGCGCCGAGGAAGGAUGACCAUCCAAGGCUAAAUUAGGGAGAGACUCUUUUUUGGAUCCACGCCGAGGACCUCUUCGUCCUCGGCAUACUAAGGAUAAUUUUGGGAAGGGACAAGCCCAGAGCAAGCUGUCACCUCCACACUUAAUGCAUUCACCUAACCCCUCUGGCCGCAUUAAUGGGGAUGCAACCCUUUAGCAGGGCGACGUUGAUCAGUGUGAACCACUUGAGUGUUGAUAAGGCCUCUAAUAUGACGGACGGUCAGAAGAAAGGCGAAUGAAUGAUCAAUAGAUGGAAGAACGAGAUAGGACAAUGAAGACUAUAUAAAGAGGAGCGAGUAAAGAAAAGAGGAGAAAAAGAAAAGAAAAGAAAGAAGAAAAAGGACUCCUCGGCCAUGAGCCGAGGAGUAUCCUCCAGUUGUAAACAGUUCUAAGUAUUUUCUAAUAAAAGAAGAGAGUUCAUGCUCCCGAAACGCCGGCCAGCGCCUAAACCUUCGAUCCACUCUCUAAAAAUUUAUUGUUUGGGCUUGUUGGGCUGAAAACUCAUUCAUACUCUAGGUUCAAUCCAAAUUGAGUCCCUACAAUUGGCGCCGUCUGUGGGGAGGAUUAGUGCGCUGGACGGCGCACCAGGCGAGUGUUCUAAGUGGUCGUUUUACAAUAGGUUGGCGACGUAUAAAAAAAAAUGUAUCGCAAAAAAAAAAAUGGAAGAUUUGAUAGCGAAAAGAGAAAUCUUGAUAUUAAUUCAUAAAAAGAAAAGUUACAGAUUACAAUCAGAGGCUCAGGCAGGCUUGCUUUACAACUAUUCCUACCAGCUAGUUCUACAAUCAGAGGCCCAGGUGGAGCCGCCCUAAAAACUAGCUAGAGGGAAGUGUCAACCCAUGCUUUUAUUGGCAUCAAGAGAAUGGGUGAACUUGACAAUAAAAGCAGGGAAGGAGGAGGGCCAGCUUGUUUCAAGGCCACUAACAACUCCUUUCUCGGUGUGGCGGAGCUUGAACAAAGCAAGGAGCAGAUGCAGGGGCUCCGGGACGCCCUCCCCCGUGAUGUUCCCUUGAUUCUCUCCAAUCCUCACGAGCGUUGGCCGUUGGAGACGGCAACACUCGAGCACCGCCCAUGACAUGAAUUCGCACGUCUCCUUCGUCGGGGGUGCGCUCCGAGGAGAGACAUUAGGUACUUCAACAACAUCCCUCUGGGCCACCUUGUAUGGCGCCAUCGGGGUUAUGCCUAGAUUCUGCUGCACCGGAAGCCCAGUGGGGGCUGCGGCCAUAACGGCUCCUAGCACAGAUGUCCUCACACCCGCCGAAAGCCACCUCAUAUCUGCCAACUCCGGUCACAAUUCCGGCGGGGUUAUUAAAGGGGCUUGGGGAGCUAAAAGGGUGUGUUCCUUCUAUUUGUGUUGGGAGGUUCAUGGAGUAUGGAGAAACCAUCCCCCCGGAAAGCCUUAUAUAGAGGAUGAGGGUUGGUGAGAAUUAAUUCACGCAGAAUUCGAAAAGAGAGUUAUCAGCAGGGCUAAUAAUGAAGCUACCAAAUUCCAAGGGGGCCGUAGACCGUUGGACUCGUGUUAAUUCACGAGGACAUUAAUGAAGGCGCGUCUCGCGCACCGAAGCGUCAAGCGCGGAACACGAACGGCCAAACGACGCUUCAUAAAUGAAAAAGAUGGGGGCUCGAGCUGGAGGCGAGAUCAACGCCACGUGUAAAGAUCAUAAUCCGACCCAAGGAGGAAUCGUAUCCAGUAAAGCGGUCCGAGGACAAACCCCUACCUACAGAAAAAUAGAAGUGGUAGACAGAACCAAGGCAUUGCAUGGUCCUCGAACUCAAGCCUAUGGGAAAACUAAUCACACCAUUAUACCUGGGUACUAGACAGAACCAAGGUAUUGCAUGGUCAUCGAACUCAAACCUAUGGAGAAACUAGAUACUUACAGAAAAAUAGAAGUGGUAGACAGAACCAAGACAUUGCAUGGUCCUCAGACCCAAGCCUAUGGGAAAACUAAUCACACCAUUAUACCUGGGUACUAGACAGAACCAAGGUAUUGCAUGGUCCUCGGACUCAAACCUAUGGGGAAACUAGAUACUUGCAGAAAAAUAGAAGUGGUAGACAGAACCAAGUCAUUGCAUGGUCCUCAGACCCAAGCCUAUGGGAAAACUAAUCACACCAUUAUACCUGGGUACUAGACAGAACCAAGGUAUUGCAUGGUCCUCGGACUCAAACCUAUGGAGAAACUAGAUACUUGCAGAAAAAUAGAAGUGGUAGACAGAACCAAGGCAUUGCAUGGUCCUCGGACCCAAGCCUAUGGGUAAACUAAUCACACCAUUAUACCUGGGUACUAAACAGAACCAAGGUAUUGCAUGGUCCUCGGACUCAAACCUAUGGGGAAACUAGAUACUUACAGAAAAAUAGAAGUGGUAGACAAAACCAAGGUAUUGUAUGGUCCUCGGACCCAAGCCUAAGGGAAAACUAGUCACACCACUAUAUCUGCGUACUAGGCAGAACCAAGGUAUUGCAUGGUUCAAGGAGUUGAACCUAUGGAGAAAAUAACUAUCUGUAGAAAAACCAAAGUGUUACCUAGAUUCAAGCUAUAAUAUGGUCCUUAGAUUUAUAUUUGAAGGAUAACAGGUGAUCUCAUGAGACUAACUCCAGAAUAGAAUACAAGUAUUGAGCAGAAUAUUAGAGUAAAGCAAGUAAAAGAAAAUAUCCAUAGUUGGAAGCAAAGUAUUGAGCAUUCAGUUCAAAUAGAAAAUAUACAGUCUCCUUACAACGCCACAGAGGCAAGAAAUAAAAUGAAGUAAAAAAGAAAAUAAACAGAAUUAUCCUAUGUCAUACACCAGUCUCCCCAACUCAGUAGGCAAAUUAAUUCGAUAAGCAGAUCAAAAGGCUUUAGCUAAGGCCUAAGGGCCUUGUCUCGGAGGGUCCGCAGGAGGCCUCACCACGUCUUGUGGCAUUUCCUGACCCUCGGUUCUAACUCCCCCCAACGUUCUCUGGGGUUCAACCUCCUCGGGGGGUUGGUCAGCUGAAGACGUAGCCCCGGCGGUCUUAUUGUGGCUCUCACUCGCUGGUAAUGUGGACCCCUCCUCGAGAGCAGCAGGGGCAGUCUCGCGAAUUGCAAUAGGGUAAUAUACCCUGUCCUCCCUCCUAAGUUCAGAUGAGACAUCAACCCCUACUUGGUUGAGGGCUUCAUGCCAGGUCUCAGAACAAUAAUGCCUGCACACUGUAGGAACUUGAGCUCGAAGGGUGGCUUCAGUCUUAGCCACCCCAUCUGUGAAAGCCUCCUCCUUCGCCUGUUCUACAGAGCGCUCAGCGUCUAUUUUUGCAAAAACCGCCUCAUCUUUAGCUCUCACAGCCUAGUCCCUGGCAUACUCGGCAAUACCUUUCUCAUGGAUUGCCUCGGCCAACUUUUUCUUCAGGUAGGCAAUGUCCCCUUUGGCAGUCUGUAGGUGACCCUCAGCGUCUUGCAAGCGACUGGUUUGAUCCUCAGCUUGCUUCCUAGUCGCGGCUAAGUCGGAGGCAGCAGUGUCCCUGGCCUUUGUCAUCUCCUCCAGAUUCUCGGUCGCCUUUUUUAGGUCGGCCUCAGAUCUCUUGAGAGUACUGGCAACUUUCAAGAACUUGUCACGCUCUUGCGCUAAGGCGCUGCUUUGGCCAUCAACCUCCUCGUCUAACCUGAAAAGAGCCUGGAUAGCCUGCCAAUAAAAACAAGUAACUCCGUAAAGAGAAGGGAAGGUACUAAGCAACAAAGUUCAAAUAAAGUAAAUAGGUGCCAAGGGACCCACCAUGCCUAGAUAUUUCUUAAGGUUAAGGACAACCUCUGGCCCACUCAUAUUUCUUAGCUCGACCAUGUCAGUGGGAAGGAGAAGAGACUUCUCUAGGGCAUCGGCUACGAGAGCCCCCUUAACUCCUUGAGAUUCCCGUAUCAAUGCGUCAUCCAUUAGGGGCUGAUCAUGGAGCAUGACAGCAGGCAGCCAGGCUUGGGCCUCAGACUGUUGGAUGAUCUUCCUACCUUUCCGUUGACCACCGAGCUUCAGUUGCUUCGGAGGCUUGUGAAAUCCACCCUCCUCGGGUGGGGACUGGGAUUUGCUCCCAUCCAUUGGCUCCUUACUCUUGGAAAGUCUCUUUCUUUUUAGGUCAUAAGACUCGGUUUGAGGGUCUGAUACUGUAGGGACAGAGGAUGACCUGGUUUGCACAGUUAAAAUCUGGGGCGGGUGUGUUGAGGGCUUGGGCUGCGACUCUUCCGGUGCACCCUUCUUGGAGCCGCCUUCAAGCAGGUCAAAAAGAUUGGUUUAGGGCUGUCUUUUUAAACCCAUCUCAGCUUGAGUACCAACUCUUAGGGAUCGGAGAUCAGCUUUGGACAGAUGAGGGUCUCCUAGAUCACCAGAGGGAUCCUCGGACUGAUCAGCUAGGUUGAACACACCAUAUUCGUCCUCAGAAGAGCUCAGUUCAACCACCUCCCCUGCCUUCUUAGAUUGUCCUUCCUCGGCCACCGCUACUUGGUGGGAUGAGGAGGAACUUGCUAGCGGAAUACCUUCAGGUAUGUGAGAUCCCUCGAAAAAUGCAAAACCAUCCUCCACCAUGGUAAUCUGCGUAAGCCGAGGAUCACGAGCUCUAAUUACGUGCCUCGGGACUGUGAAUGAUUUCUGAGCUGAGUCGCAUCCGAUAAUUUUGUGAGCAGCUCUAAGUUGUGUUAUCAGUGUCGUUUAUGAAAAGUUCUGACCUAAGAACGGUUUCCAAAUCCGCUUUGUUGACCAGGUGGAAAUGACGUGCGAAGGCAUGCGGAUCUGCGAAAAGAAAAGCGAAACUCCUAUGGUUAAUCAAUCAAAUCGAAUAUACAGCUAUAAAAAAUAAAAAUACUGAAACCUAGAUCGUCUCCUACUUCAUGUACCCUACCUGGCUCCCCCUCUACUGUUGGGCAGUGAAAACCGUUAUGCCACUCCCCUGACACUAUGAGGAAAUCUUGAGUCAACCCCUUAUUAGAUUCAGGAAGACACUGGAUGAGUCGGACCCUAUCGUCCCUCGUCUUCAUAUAGUACGUCUUACACCUCAGGUGAUGAAGGUUGUAGCACCAGUUCACAUCGUGGUGAGUCAGUCUCAGCCCCAUUUUCUCAUUCAAGGUAUCUACACACCCUAAUAUCCUAAAUAUAUUCACGGCGCACUGGGUAGGAGCCAGACGGAAAUGCCUAAGGUAACCGAGAGUCACUGGCCUCAUAGGGAUUCUCAUCCCUCCCUCUACGAAAGCAACUAUCGGGAUCACGACUUCACCCUCUCUCCUCUUAAUGUACCACUCCCCUUCUUCACAGUACCUUAAACUCACAUUAUUGGGUAUCCCAUAGUCAACAAUGAAUUUGUUCAUCAUCUCGUUGGACUCAACCAACUUCUUAAACUUACCCAUCCUCCAAGAACGACUAAAGGUUCCAGAAGAAGAAAAGAAGGAAUAGAAUCAGGGAAAAUUUGGGAUCACCAGAAGAAGAAGACUUACAGAAAUAUGACGAUUCUCUUCAGGCAGUGUGCAAGUUGAACUAGAUUCAAAUUAUACGCACCAAUGGUCGUAAGCGCGAAAAUGAGGAAACCAGACGGUUCAAACAGGUACUUAUACUCCCCCUCAGGCUCCCCAAAUGUAACCGUCUGCCCAUAAAAGCAGGAGAUCCCCGCUGAACAAUUACCAUCACACCGUCGAAAGUGGGAAACGUGGUGCCGCCAAAAUUUAAUAUGGGCACACAUUGAGUCUUGAAACGCCAAAACGUACAUCGGGCAGUCGAAAAGUCGCUAGCAUUAGCGCGAACCGAAGUGGGGCGGUUCGUCUAGAGGGCCCGUAGAUAUCAAAACCCUCCUCCCCGUCUGAGGGAACAUGCAGCAGGCGUUUGAGGGGCUAUUGUGGGGCCCGUGGGUCUGAUAGUCUCAGCCCAUCGUGUAGUAGGCCCAAGGCCUGCGCCGAGGAAAGAUGACCAUCCAAGGCUAAAUUAGGGAGAGACUCUUUUUUGAAUCCAUGCCGAGGACCUCUUCGUCCUCGGCAUACUAAGGAUAAUUUUGGGAAGGGACAAGCCCAGAGCAAGCUGUCACCUCCACACUUAAUGCAUUCACCUAACCCCUCUGGUCGCAUUAAUGGGGAUGCAACCCCUUAGCAGGGCGACGUUGAUCAGUGUGAACCACUUGAGUGUUGAUAAGGCCUCUGAUAUGACGGACGGUCAGAAGAAAGGCGAAUGGAUGAUCAACAGAUGGAAGAACGAGAUAGGACAAUAAAGACUAUAUAAAGAGGAGCGCGUAAAGAAAAGAGGAGAAAAAGAAAAGAAAAGAAAGAAGAAAAAGGGCUCCUCGGCCAUGAGCCGAGGAGCAUCCCCCAGUUGUAAACAGUUCUAAGUAUUUUCUAAUAAAAGAAGAGAGUUCAUGCUCCCGGAACGCCGGCCAGCGCCUAAACCUUCGAUCCACUCUCUAAAAAUUUAUUGUUUGGGCUUUUGGGCUGAAAACUCAUUCAUACUCUGGGUCCAAUCCAAAUUGAGUCCCUACAAUAACUUUUGGGAAUUUUGCUUUAUUAAUUUAAGAAUUGUAAAUUACUUUAUAGGUUUCAGUGCAGUGAGACAUUAACAAUAGAAGCAUAUAUAUAUGGUAUUAACAUUUUAUAAAAAUCUUUCUAUAAUAUGCAUAUUAUUAACCCAAUUUUCUAUUUCUAAAUUUCUUAGAUUUUAUUAUAUCAAUCUUUUUUUUCUUUUAAAUUCUUGGUGGGCAAAUCAGUCUCUCACUAAUUCUUUUACCUUAAUGUGAUGUUGGUUAAUUGUCCUUUUAUUUAACUAUCCCGUGCAUCGCACGGGUUAGCGACUAGUAUAAUGAAUAAAUCUUUAUUUAUGCAUGUUGAGAUUGCUAAAAACUUGUUAUUGUUCGGUGAAACUAGAACAAUACUUUUUAUAUAAAUCAAAUUUUAUUUUUCAUUUGCUCUACACUUAAAAGAUAUUUUUUAUUUUAGUCUUUAUAAAUAUAUUGUUUGAUUAGAAAUGUCUACUAUAAAAUAUGCAUUUGGAUAUAAAAAUUUUAAAAAAAGAAGAAAAACUAAUUGAGUCUCAUAAAGGAUCAAUAGAUAAAUUUGUUAUUAAUAAUAAACAAAAUAUAACACAAAAUUUAAAUGAAAAUAUCACAAAUGAGCAAGAAAUUCACCAAAAAUAGAUUAUUAUAAUAAAAAAUAUUAAAUAAAUAUUAAUUUAAUUAAUACAUAAGUAUAAACAAUAAUUUAAUUAACCAAUAAUUAAUUGAGAGAAGCAACUAAUAAACAAUGAUUAAUAAUUUAAUUAAUCAAUACAUUAUAAAAGACAAACAAAUUAAAUUAUGUUAGGCUAAAUAACAAUUAAUAAUUUUAUAAUUAAUGAAAUAACAAUAUAACAAAUUAUAGUUUAUAAAAGACAAACAAAUUAAUGAAAAAAUUAAACAACAAUAAUUAAUAAUUUUAUUAAUAUUUCAAAUGAACUUAUAAUUUAUUGUUUAUUUUUUUGUUAAAAUUAUGGACAAAUAUUUGAUAAGAAAACCAAGUAGAAAGUAAUUGUAAAAUUUAUGUAUUUGUGUGCUUUUUUAUUGUUGUUGUUGUCAAUAUACAAAAUUUUCUUUUUAUUAGAUUGUGUAAUUUAUGCUUGUUGAGGAACACCCCACUAUAUGUGUAUUUUCUUCAUCAUCUAGAUUUUUUUUGGUAUGUUAUCAAGUUACUUUUGAGCAACAGCUAGCUAGCAUGACAACAGCCAAUCAAUCUAUGUAUCUAAACUUAUCCUCUAAUUUCUAAACAAUUGUUGCUAACUUGUAGAUUUGGCUUUCUUUUCUUAUAUAAAAAAAAAAAAGAUUUGGCUUUCUUUUUGAGAGAUAGAGGACUGGUAAGAUCUUUGAUUGGAUUCUGCGACUGAAUUUAUGAUUUUUUUUUUUUAUUUCUCGAUGUUUUAAAAAAAAAUUAAUUAAAAAAAAUAUUUUAGUACUUUAGGAGGAACGCUACUUCUUUCUACGGCUAUUUAUUUGUUUCUUUUAAAGCCAAUUAUAUAUCUUUCUUUCCCACGUGAUUUUCCUUUUAAAGUAGUAAUUUAUUCUCCCUUUCAUACAACCUUCUCAUAUUCCUAUCUUUGUUCCUAUUGUGCUUAAAAAGACACCUUUGAGCUUGUCGUUCUCUAAUUGCGAUGCUAACUUGCUAUAUGUCCAUCGCUUCAGGUUCUUCUACAAUAUAUCUGAUCCAAGUCGUGAAUAA